rnacentral:rRNA from 1 species
CCCCAGCGCCACGAGUGGGAGUCGCUUUUAUUGGGCCUAAAGCGUUCGUAGCCUGUUUUGUAAGUCUUUUGUGAAAUUGUUGGGCUUAACCCAACAGCGUGCAAGAGAUACUGCAUUUCUUGGGACCGGGAGGAGUAUGGGGUAUUCCAUGGGGAACGGUAAAAUGUAAUAAUCCAUGGAGGACCACCAGUGGCGAAGGCGCCAUACUAGAACGGAUCCGACGGUGAGGAACGAAGGCUAGGGGA